rnacentral:lncRNA from 1 species
CAAUCUCAUCUUUCUAAUUCUAUUACGGAAUAUUAAUUUCAUUUUUAUUUCUCUUCAAAAUUACUUGAUAACCUAUUACGGAACAUUAAUUUCAUUUUUAUUUCUCUUCCAAAUUACUUGAUAACCUCAGACCCCUCGAAUUUGAUGGGCUACAGUGUAAUGCAAACACUUCAAUAACUAAAAUAUACACAAAUAUAAUCCAUGUGUAGCUAUAUUUUUUUUAAUUAUAAGUACAAAAUAAAAUGAAUGAAUGAAUAAAUAAUAAAGAAAAUUGGGUCUUGAAAUUACCAAGAUGCCCUUGGUCAAGCAGUUCAAUUACCAAAAUGUCCUGGCAUUGUUACAUCACCAAAAUGCCCUUGAUUCACUGAAUAAUCAAGCAAAUGUCACUCACCGGCGCGUCAACCCACACGCCAAGGCUGCCAGCGGGCCGGCGAAAAUACGAAGAGACUCGACGACCCUAGUCCAAAAAUAAGAUCACGAUCUCUUCUUUCACAUAAUGAUGGCCGUGUAACGCACGGACAAACAUGAAAGGAGAUCGGUGGCUUGAAAGCUCGGGGAGGCCGAACGGUUUCUUCUCCCUUUUCGGCUGAUUCCAGCGAGAGUAGUGAUCAAGGCUGAUCCGGUUUUGUUCGUAUCGAGGCAGAGCACUUUCUGUGGUGGUCCGACUUUGAUUGGUUGCAGGGGGGAGGAGAUACGGAGACUGGAACCACUGGCGGUGGCUGACAGGAUCAGGUGUAGCGUGGAAUACGCUAGAUCAGUGAACUCAUUGAAUUGUACAGUGUAGAUAUUCUUAGAUUUGAUCCAAAGUCCAGAUCUAUCUGAUUUGAAACUGAUUUGACGAAUGCGAUCUGUGAACUUGCUUUGGUUUUAACGGUUCAAAUCACAUCCUUUUGCUCCAACGGCCCAGAUCUAAUCUCUUUUAAUCAGAUGUGAUGUCUGUGAUUGGUUUGGGAUGGAUCUGACGACUGUGAUUCGUUUGGGAUGGCUCAACGGUU